rnacentral:rRNA from 1 species
GACAGAGGGUGCAAACGUUGUUCGGAAUUACUGGGCGUAAAGCGUGUGUAGGCAGCCACGUAAGUCGGAUGUGAAAGCCCCGGGCUCAACCCGGGAAGUGCACUCGAUACUGCGUGGCUUGAGUACUGGAGAGGUUGGUGGAAUUCUCGGUGUAGAGGUGAAAUUCGUAGAUAUCGAGAGGAACACCGGUGGCGAAGGCGGCCAACUGGACAGAUACUGACGCUGAGACACGAAAGCGUGGGGAGCAAACAGG